GACACAAUGGCGAAAUAUCGAAGGAAACGGAAAAUGUGUAAAACCCGUUGUCGCACUAAGCAGGGUAGAUUUAAGCGGUGUAGGUCUGGCGAUCGUCAUUAUCGUAUAAAACAGUGCUGUAAACGGCGGCGAUGUCGAUCUAGAUCUAGACGAAGAGGACGCUAUUCGUGGCGUUGUCGGUCGCGAUCCGGUUCCUUCAAACGCUGUCGUCGGUGCGACAGACGCUAUCGCUUGAGACGCAGGUCUCGUUCUUAAGAUGAUGUUCCGAUUAUUUCAAACGAUUGCCGUGUCAGUGCCGAGUCAACGAUUUGUUCGAAAUUGUUUGUAUUGUCUAUGAUUUUUUAAAUAUAUUUUCAUUUAUUA